ACUCAAGUUUAGUUUUCCUCGAUACAAAGUUAAAAGACAGCUAAGAAAAUAACAUUUCUCUAUAACCUUAUGUGGAGGUGUAGGUAUCAGACAGAAUCUGAAGUUUUGUUUAAAAAAAAAGUUUAACCAUGUAACAAAAUACUAAAGGAUGUUUUAAUUAUCAUAAAAGAGUCUGUAUAUAAGUGACAAGUAAAGUCAUUGAUUUAAAGAAAACACUGAGUAUUACAAAGCUGAGUGCCAUUUGUUUUGUUCCAGUGGUGUUACAGCUCCUGUGCUAUGUAUCACCAGGAAAGCAUUUCUUUCUCUACCCCUUUUCUUAACCAGCGCCUACCUACCAAGAUAGUUUUGGAAUUAUCGUAUAUGUCUUAGAUUUGGAAGUACGUAUAUCAUACUGCCAAAGACCUGUGUUGAGAAUCUUUAAGGUCAAGAUGGCACAAUUUAAAUUUAGAAUUAUUAAAUAGGAAAUGUUUUCUCAAACCAAAUAUCUCCCAAGCAUUUCAUGUAUAGGAUUAUCAAUAAACCAGGAAUGGAUGAUAGCAAUGGGGCAAAGGGGGCAGGAAGAGGGUAAAAAUGGGUUAGUAAUGUUUCAAAAAAUUUGCAAAGCCUCAUUUGCAUUUAAUGCAAAGAAAACCAAUAUAUUGAGGUUGCUUUCUGAGAUCCAUGAAGAGAAAACACUAGUACUUUUGAAUAAGGGGUAGAAUUCUAAUUAGAAGUUAUUGUAAAAUGUUAUGCAUAGCACAUAGGCACAUCAUCUCUUGUGUUUGUAUGUAUAUGGCUCAGAUGGUGCCCAUUUGGUAUAUUUAAUGUGUAAUUUGUGCAUGCAUCAGAGCGUAAUAAGCUUCUAGAACAUACUUUUUACCUAACUGCUUCUGGGGUCCAUAUUAUGGU
rnacentral:lncRNA from 1 species